GGAGGCCGUAGGGGAGAUGGUUCACCCCAAUGGCGCUAUCCAUGCGCCGGAUGACGUGGGUUAAACGCCUGCGAUCAGCGCACGUUCGAACCGUGCCGCCUCCA
rnacentral:tRNA from 1 species